rnacentral:rRNA from 1 species
AACGAACGCUGGCGGCGUGGAUAGGACAUGCAAGUCGAACGGGACUUUUUUCUGUAGCAAUACAGAGAAAAGUCUAGUGGCGAACGGGUGCGUAACACGUGAGCAACCUGCCGUGAAGUGGGGGAUAGCUCGCCGAAAGGCGAAUUAAUACCGCAUGUGGCCAAGGAAGACAUCUUCCUGACGCCAAAGCCGGGGCAACCUGGCGCUUCUCGAGGGGCUCGCGGCCUAUCAGCUUGUUGGUGAGGUAACGGCUCACCAAGGCUAUGACGGGUAGCUGGUCUGAGAGGACGACCAGCCACACUGGAACUGAGACACGGUCCAGACACCUACGGGUGGCAGCAGUCGAGAAUUUUUCACAAUGGGGGAAACCCUGAUGGAGCGACGCCGCGUGGAGGAUGAAGGUUUUCGGAUUGUAAACUCCUGUCAUUAGAGAACAAGGCACACGGUUUAACUGGCCGUGUGUUGAUAGUAUCUGAAGAGGAAGAGACGGCUAACUCCGUGCCAGCAGCCGCAGUAA